AUGCAUCAAAAUCCAACAGAUCUAAACCCGCAUAUUUUCCAUUGGUUAAAAGCGCGCAAAUCUUUAAGACAAAGAAUCUAUAAGGCUAAAAGCACCGAAGACCAAAAUGGGCAUUUCACAAAUACGUACGAAAAUGCAAAUACACAAUUGUACUCGUAUAUUACAAUAUUCUCCAUCAUCGUAGUCGAUAUUUUUGUCCCUUGUCAUUUCUUUAUUUCAAUUCAAACCUUUUCCUCUCCCUUCCCUCAAAUGGAUUCUUUCAACCCCUACACCCUCUUACGCAACCACAAAACCACGCAAAAUUAA